AUGCACACCCCAAAAGUUGAUUAUUUUCCAAUAACAGCUCAAAUGGAACUCUUUUUUCCCCCCCUUUAUACCACAAUUUCACAAUUUUUAUUUAAUGAAGAGCGCUCUGUCAUACUUGUAUUCCAUGUAAUGUCUUGGAAUGUCUGUGAAACAAGUUAAUUCCUGUUAUGUUAUCACGGGGCAGCUGUGGCUCAGGUGGUAGAGUGGCUCAGGUUGUCCACUAAUCGUAGGGCUGGAGGUUCGCUUCCUGGCCCACAUGACUCCACAUACCGUAGUGUCCUUGGGCAAGACACUGAACCCCAAGUUGCUCCCGAUGGCAAGUUAGAGCCUCGCAUGGCAGCUCUGCCACCAUUGUUGUGUGAGUGCGUGUAUGAAUGGGUGAAUGAGACACAGUGUAAAGCGCUUUGGAUAAAAGUGCAGAACACUUACACCUCACCAGCAUCUAUUUUUUUCUCUCUCUUGAAGUAAAUAAGACAAAAAAUAAAUAAUAAAUAAAAAAUGCAACCAGAAAACAAACAAAGCGCUCUUGAAGACAUUCGCGAGUUGAGAAAGUUACUUCUGAUGGUUACAACGCACUGACACUGGAGACUUCUUCCAUAAGUGUUAAAUAUAUCAUACUGUAUAUGUUCAAUUUGUUUGUGCAUUCAGAAUGUAGCUUUCCUGAGAAGUAUUGAUGUGGUAUUGGUCACUAAACAGUUUUUUUUUUUUUUUUGACCCUUUACCCAAAAUGACUUUGACAUCAUAUAAUCAUAUUUUAAAUAACACACAAAGUUCAACUGGAUAUGAACUGAUCUGGCUGGAUUAAUGUAGAUUAAAUUGAUGAAACAGCUCUCAGUAGUGAAAAUUCCUGUAAUUCCAUCUGAUAGAAAAAUCCGUUCUCUCUAUCAAAGCCUCGGUGCCAGGCGUUAUUUUUUUUUACUGCAUUGUCAGAUGAUGAACAAUGACAAUAACCCUUCAGUUCUUACAGUGCAGUCUUGUAUAGCUCCCUCAUUCUUAUUCACAUCCUUAUCAGAGUGCAGUUAAAAUCCUCCAGUACGUCCUCUUUCUCACGUGACUGAUGAUGGAACGACAUUAUGCAUAUAUUUACACAAAUGCUUUUUUCGGGUCUAUUUGUAACAAUCAGAAAUAUUAGUCCAUAUUUAUCCCUGUCUCUCUUUCUCAGAAAGGCACCUACAGUACUCUAAACCAGAGCAUUCGUUAACAAGGCUCUUAAGCUAUUUUCUCCCAAAGUCUCAACAGUAGCUCAUUAAAACAACAACAUUCUUUAAAUCUGAAUGAGUGGAUUUAUCUGUCACAGCAGAGAAGUGAUGCAACGGCAGCAUUGAAUACGGUAACCGCACUGACAUGAAAUGCGUUCCUUUCCCACAGAUGUUACAGCUGGAUCUCAUCCAUAUUAUCAUGCGCAUGAUGAAACAAAUAGGAAAUUUUAGCCUACUGGAACAAACUUGGGAUAGAAUCCAGUAUCAAUAGCUCAAUAAUUCAUAAAUACAGAUCAUAAAAUGUUAUUUUUGCUGUACUGUUGUUAUGUUGAACAUGAUGGCUCAUGAUGUCUGGAUUGUAAAUGCUAAAUUAGAGAUACUGACAAGAAUAUGCAAGGGGAUAUGACCAGUCCGUUCUUCUUAAUCAGAAAAUUCUUAAACUCUUAGGAUAGAGGUAUAUAGGUCAAUAAUUUUGAGUAAUAAUUUUUUUUUUUUUAAAAUGUACAAAAGUAUGUGAACAGGAUGUGAAAACUUUCUGACCUAAUGUCUCCAGCCCUGUAGAUAGUUUCUAGUCCAAUGAGCUUUCAGAUAAAUAAUUUGCAUAAAUACACGUGAUUGGCUGAUGAUCUGCUACACAGGCCGCAAUGAUUCAAAACACUGACAUUGGAGACUUCUUCCAAAAGUGUUAAAUAAACAUCUCCUGUCAGAAAACUUCACCGUAUCAACAGUUACACACGCGUUUAUGUGGAGCAUUCAUCAUAAAAGUCUCUGUGAAUGGCGUUACUAUAGAAAUGAUAAUGUAUUAGAACAAGGACAUUAAUAUAAACCUGUGAUUUGUAUUACUGAAUCAGAUCUGCUGCUAUAGAAAAUAAAUCAAGAGCUUCUGACCAAUCAGAAUCAAGAAUUCAACAUUGUUGUGACUUUUUUUUUUUUUUUUUAACUUGGUAAGGUAUUAUUUUAUGCAAUGCAAGACAGUACAUUUGUGUGUGUGUGUGUGUGUGUGUGUGUGUGUGUGUGUGUGUGUGUGUUUGUGUGUGUUUAUGUGCGUGCACAUGCUUAAUGGUGAACUACAGUAAAUGAGAAUGCACCUUUGCAACUCCACAAAUAUUUUGCAUUCCCCAGUGAGAGUAAAAAGGAAUUGAAUGUUGAUGUGAAUGCUGAAUAAGCUGAAGCGGUGAUGCCUGACUCGGGAGUGAGUGAGCGCUGUCUAAUUACAGAUGUUCUGAUUGAAAGGCUCAGGGGGAGGUUUUAAUUGCACUGUGGAGAUGGUGUGUAUUCAAGACACUACCCAUGCUGCAUCGCUGCCCUCACCCUUGCACUCCUGCAGGAUACGCCGGACUUUGUGUAAUGAGACAGAAACCCCCCCACACAUACACACACACACACACACAGGAAGUGGAAUGCAUACAAAUCAUCUGGUCAGAAUAUCCACCACAAGAGAAUCUAUUACUGUAAAAACAUGAUGUGAAUGCAGAAAACAAAAACAAUAACACUUCAGUGCAGCCACGUUAGACUUUAAUUUACCGCUAAUACUGUAAGUACGUGUUCAUAAAAAUGCUAGCUUCUGUUCUUAAAUCUGAUUGGCUGUGCCGUGUUCAAUAUUUGCACACCUGUGACCGCAUCACGGUAAUUAAAUUCUGUAUUAAUGCACCAGGUUUUAAGCCAAUCAAACCGUUACACUACAGCGGUUGUUGUGUCAAUAGAAUAUACAUCAGUUUUGUUUGUUGUGUUGCUUAGCAACCAACGUUUACUGUUAACUGUUAGACUACAUUUGUGGCGGACGAAUUGUUCACUGUGAAUAUUAUUAAUAUUUACCACAAGAUGGUGUGCAUUACAGUGAGUUUACCACAGAUGUUUCCCAAUUGCAGGGCAGCACUCUACCUGCCCCAUUUACUUCCAUGGAAUUAUAAUUACACAGUGAUCAAUGGGAACUGCAGCAAGCUCUAAUAGAGAUCCGUAACGGCAGGAUUUUUGGAGCCCCGUGCUCACUCUAUGAACAUUGUCAGUGGAGAAUGAGCAGCAGAUAGGGUAGUUAAUUCCAGGGUUGCCAGAUUGAGAUAGUUUUAAACACUCCGUGGCCACCAAGAUCUUGUUUUAGGAAAUACUCUGAAUAGAAUCAAAUACAUUUCUGCAAAAUGGCAAAGUGUACAGUAAGUGAAGAAUGUGAGGCUGUGAUGUACAGAACAAUAUCUAUUGUAAAAUAUAUUUCAAUGUUUGGGAGAGGAAAAGGGAGGUAUGGGGUGGACAAUGUCCGUAGAUCAGAAAUACAUGUGAAAUACUUGGCUUUCCCUGCAGAAAGGCUGAGGAAAAGAGGACACUUAUCUCCUUUUUCCAAUGAACAUUUUUUUUGGACUAGUUUCAGGGUUUGUGUGUGGCUUUGGAUAUGUGGUUGGGCUGGAGAUUUUGCUGCAACCUGUCAAUGCUGGUUAACCUCAAACACAGAUGAACAAAGAUAGGCCGAAAACUGCUCAAAACGAGCUCCUAUAGACUUUAUGCCGGAUGACUGUAUGGUGUUGAUUCUCAAAUGCCUGUCACGGGGUUGGCUAUAACAUAAGUCAAGCGUAACGACCUCUUGAUUUUGUUUGAGGCUAUGUUGUUAUUAAUGUUGGCCUGUUCCACCAAAAUCUAUGGCUGCUAGUGAAUAUUAUUGAAUAUUAUAUGAAAAUUAUUUAGCAACAUCAGAGCUUAUUCGGGUUUGUGUGAAGUAUUCCAUCCAUCCAUCCAUCCAUCCAUCUUCUAUACCGCUUAUCCUUUUCAGGGUCACGGGGAACCUGGAGUCUAUCCCAGGGAGCAUGGGGCACAAGGCGGGGUACACCCUGGACAGGGUGCUAAUCCAUCGCAGGGCACAAUCACAUACACACUCACACACCCAUUCAUACACUACGGACACUUUAGACACGCCAAUCAGCCUACCAUGCAUGUCUUUGGACUGGGGGAGGAAACCGGAGUACCCGGAGGAAACCCCCUCAGCACGGGGAGAACAUGCAAACUCCACACACACAGGGCCACGAUGGGAAUCGAACCCCCGACCCUGGAGGUGUGAGGCGAACGUGUGAAGUAUUGUUUAUGGAAUUUAUUCUGUUGAUGUUGUGAGAAAUUCUUAUAUGUAAUCUAUGUGGAUAUCCUGUUUACAAGCAUUUCGCUUGAUAUUUUGGUAAUCCUUUAAUACGUUAAACCUGUCAGACAUGACAGGUUUGAAUAUAAUUGAAUUUGAGCUGUAAAAUAAAGCUGAUUGACUGACUGUCA